GAUGAACGCUAGCGAUAGGCCUAACACAUGCAAGUCGAGGGGCAGCAUAGAGUAGCAAUACUUUGAUGGCGACCGGCGCACGGGUGAGUAACACGUAUGCAACCUACCUACAUCAGGGGAAUAACCCGGAGAAAUUCGGACUAAUACCGCAUAAUACAGGGAUGCCGCAUGGCAAUAUUUGUUAAAGAUUUAUCGGAUGUAGAUGGGCAUGCGUUCCAUUAGCUAGUUGGUAAGGUAACGGCUUACCAAGGAAACGAUGGAUAGGGGAACUGAGAGGUUUGUCCCCCACACUGGAACUGAGACACGGACCAGACUCCUACGGGAGGCAGCAGUGAGGAAUGUUGGUCAAUGGACGAGAGUCUGAACCAGCCAAAUCGCGUGAAGGAAGACUGCCCUACGGGUUGUAAACUUCUUUUGUACAGGAAUAAAAGACAUUACGUGUGAUGUAUUGCAUGUACUGUACGAAUAAGCAUCGGCUAACUCCGUGCCAGCCGCCGCCGUAA
rnacentral:rRNA from 1 species